rnacentral:rRNA from 1 species
CCUACGGGAGGCAGCAGUAGGGAAUCUUCCGCAAUGGACGAAAGUCUGACGGAGCAACGCCGCGUGAACGAUGAAGGCCUUCGGGUCGUAAAGUUCUGUUGUUAGGGAAGAACAAGUGCUAGUUAAAUAAGCUGGCACCUUGACGGUACCUAACCAGAAAGCCACGGCUAACUACGUGCCAGCAGCCGCGGUAAUACGUAGGUGGCAAGCGUUGUCCGGAAUUAUUGGGCGUAAAGCGCGCGCAGGCGGUUUCUUAAGUCUGAUGUGAAAGCCCCCGGCUCAACCGGGGAGGGUCAUUGGAAACUGGGAAACUUGAGUGCAGAAGAGGAAAGUGGAAUUCCAAGUGUAGCGGUGAAAUGCGUAGAGAUUUGGAGGAACACCAGUGGCGAAGGCGACUUUCNGGUCUGUAACUGACGCUGAGGCGCGAAGGCGUGGGGAGCAAACAGGGAUUAGAUACCCUGGUAGUCCACGCUGUAAACGAUGAGUGCUAAGUGUUAGAGGGUUUCCGCCCUUUAGUGCUGAAGUUACGCAUUAAGCACUCCGCCUGGGGAGUACGGUCGCAAGAUUGAAACUCAAAGAGUAGUACGACGNGNGAGAGCGACGACGACGACGACGGAGGAGGAG